rnacentral:sRNA from 1 species
UUUAAACUGACUAGAUAUUGUGGUAUCC